CUCUGAUAACCUGUGUUUCGAUACGAAACGGGCCCUGCCUCAUUAUUUGUCAUCUCCCUGGAGGUGACGGAGGGCUGUUUCAACCUCAGGGGAAAAGUUGCUGUACAGAACACAGGCCAGAGUGUGCCCCAAAGAAAUCAGGCGGUGGAGUGAUUUAAAAGUGAUCAUUUUCUGUAGUCCUAGCUACUCGGGAGGCUGAGGCAGGAAAAUCGCUUGAACCCGGGAGAAGAAGGAUGCAGUGAGCAGAGAUCGUGCCAUUGCACUUCAGCCUGGCGACAGAGCAAGACUCCGUCUCAAAAAGAAAAAAAAAAAGUGAUCAUUUUCAUGACUUGGACUAGGAAGAUCAACUGGGCACGGUGAUUCUUGCACAGAUUUUUAUAAGGAUCCUCCAAGUGUAACAACCAUUUGGAAAACUCCGGGCCUUGAGGACAGCCAGAGAAGAUAAGUUCAACUUGCACUUUGCCAGAGCAGGGGAUCUCCCUCAGCUCCCUGCCUUCAAACCUACCUUACAGACCUGCCUGGCCUGCACCUGAGCCACCCUCUUCUUCCUUCCUAUUCCCACUAAGGAGGUGUCCCUGCUUCCUUCAUAGUGGGUCCUUCCCCUGCACCGGGAAACAGGCCCUAGAGAUGACUCCAUGGGGUGAAGGACCAGAGCCUCCUUGCCUCUCUCUCUGUCUCUCUCUCCCUCUCUUGUCUUCCCAUGAAGCUCUGAUGUUUCCAGUACAAAAUAAACCUCGCUCAGUCCCAGUCCUUCUCCAGUUCCUCCCCUCACAAGCAUGGCCCCCCACUGCUGGCUUUCCUUCCCCACCUUCCACCCUCUCCUUGGCCUUCUCCACUCUGGCUUCAGUGGCCUCCGAUGGCUACACUCAGAGCCUGGGUGCACUGUCCUUUGGAAGCUUCCCUCUGGGGCCGCCUGUCAGCCUCCUCUGAAGACUCACACUCC
rnacentral:lncRNA from 10 species